CCUGCCUCUUAGCGGGGGAUAACUAUUGGAAACGAUAGCUAAUACCGCAUAAAAGUCGAUAUCGCAUGAUAUUGAUUUGAAAGGUGCAAUUGCAUCACUAAGAGAUGGACCUGCGUUGUAUUAGCUAGUUGGUGAGGUAACGGCUCACCAAGGCGACGAUACAUAGCCGACCUGAGAAGGUGAUCGGCCACACUGGGACUGAGACACGGCCCAG
rnacentral:rRNA from 1 species